rnacentral:pre_miRNA from 1 species
GAAGAUUGUAUGAUAGCGAUAGAGAGCACGCCUGUAAACAGUCAUGUUCCUCACAUGAAUGCUGACAAGCAUGCUCUCUCUCGUUGUCAAGCAAUUAUAUG